AUUGAACGCUGGCGGCAGGCCUAACACAUGCAAGUCGAGCGAGCGGCGGAAGGGUGAGUCAUGUAUGGGGACUGCCCGAUAGAGGGGGAUAAAUCCUGGACACGGUAGCUAAUACCGCAUACUAUCGGAUAACCCAUAUGGGAUUAGGUAGUAGGUGAGGUAAUGGCUCACGUAGGCGACGCUCCCUAGCUGGUCUGAGAGGAUGAGCAGCCACACUGGGACUGAGACACGGCCCAGACGCCUACGGAGGCAGCAGUGGUGAAUAUUGCACAAUGGGCGCAAGCCUGAUGCAGCCAUGCCGCGUGUAUGAAGAAGGCCCUAGGGUUGUAAAGUACUUUCAGUCGGGAGGCGUUACCGACAGAAGAAGCACCGGCUAACUCCGUGCCAGCAGCCGCGGUAAUAC
rnacentral:rRNA from 1 species